rnacentral:rRNA from 1 species
UACAGAGGUCUCAAGCGUUGUUCGGAUUCAUUGGGCGUAAAGGGCUGGUAGGCGGCCAACUAAGUCGGAUGUGAAAUCCCCAGGCUUAACCUGGGAACUGCAUCCGAUACUGGUCGGCUUGAAUCCGGGAGAGGGAUGCAGAAUUCCAGGUGUAGCGGUGAAAUGCGUAGAUAUCUGGAGGAAUACCGGUGGCGAAGGCGGCAUCCUGGACCGGCAUUGACGCUGAACAGCGAAAGCUAGGGGAGCAAACGGG